UGCAUUUGCAUGGAGCUUUGCUAAACCAUCUGAAGCUUCUAAAGGUGGACUCGGAUGAUGCAUUAUCUUCUGCUGCCUGUUGAAAAAAUGUUGUGGCAACCUUCAAAAUCAACAAUGAAGCUGGUGAAACUAGGGAUUAAUCUGGAUACUUAACAGCUGAUGAUUCACUUUUUUAAAGUGUAUAGCUUAGCAACGGUUUGCUUUCGUUACAUGGCAAUUUUUACAGGAGUAAAGCUGCAAUUCCAAAGUUAAAUAUCCAUACAUAUACAUAUAGCUGAGCGCCUAUCAUUGAAAAAAGAGUAAAAAUGGAGGGACACUCACUGAUCAAAGGAAAGAAGAAAUAUUUUUGCCUAUGUUCUGUAAUGUUAUGGCAAACGUCUGCCAAUUGUGCGGGCCUGAAAUUGACAAGCAGAAACAUUUUUGCUUGCUACUGGCUCGAGUAUAAUAGAGGGAGAGUUGGUAGGGAUAAGUGUACCGAGUAUAGACCAUUCAAGCAGUGUACCUGAUGUCUCAAAGUGUUGAACCCUAGGUUAUCUCUUAUCCCCUCCAAUUGUAUGUUACAUUGUGAAAUCUAUGUUUUUGUAUGCUUUAAUGAAUAUAUGUAGUUAUUAAUUUGAAUUAUUUGGGUUUAAUGUAACUGGAUCUUGAUUCCAA